GACGAACGCUGGCGGCGCGCCUAACACAUGCAAGUCGAACGAGUGGAUGGUCUUCGGACCUGAAGCUAGUGGCGGACGGGUGAGUAACACGUGAGGAACCUGCCUCUCAGAGUGGGAUACCGUUUGGAAACGAACGUUAAUACCGCAUAAUGUACAUUUGUCGCAUGGCAUUUGUACCAAAGAUUUAUCGCUGAGAGAUGGCCUCGCGUCUGAUUAGAUAGUUGGUGAGGUAACGGCCCACCAAGUCUGCGAUCAGUAGCCGGUCUGAGAGGAUGAACGGCCACAUUGGGACUGAGAUACGGCCCAGACUCCUACGGGAGGCAGCAGUGGGGAAUAUUGGGCAAUGGGGGAAACCCUGACCCAGCAACGCCGCGUGAAGGAAGAAGGCUC
rnacentral:rRNA from 1 species